rnacentral:lncRNA from 1 species
GCUGAACCUGUUGUCACAGCAAGGGCCCCAGCUGCUCUCUGGAAGCGUGAGACACGAGCACACCUCCAAGAGCAGGGGUGCCCGCGACAGUCGGGGGAGACGGCUCGGCUUGGCUUCCACAGUGAAGAUUCCAGACUCGGGACUACACUGGGAAAACGCAUCGGCAGCAACGGAAAGUGUCCAAAAACUGACAGGAGUGUGCGGGGGGUGCAGGGGUGAGGGGGUAGGAGCGGGGAGCGUCUAGAACUCCUUGGAGGAGCGUCUUGCUCUCCCUCGGGUGCUUCUCAAGUUCUGUCCUAGACCCGGUAUUUCGAGGACUUGAACGUACUCCCUUUCCUGUGGUUUAACUCCCAUGCACACAGGGGACUCCCUGGUCCCGAGCUGUCCCCUCGCUUCAGGCCACGAGUCCAAAGGCCUGCUGCAGUCAGUGCCAUUCAGAUGUCCCUCGGGCACCUGAAGUUCAACAUGUCCCGAACCAACCUUGUCACCUUCUGCCCUCCUGCCUCUCCUCCUCGUGGUCCCAGCUCUGAACGGUGACAUGCUCCACCCGUCACCCAAGGCAUUCUUGCUUUCCUCUGCUGUCCCCAGCGCUGCCUCUGAAACCUCUCAAAUCCUUCUGCUCCCCUUCCAGGUACCCACUGCUCCAGUCCAGACCCUCACGUUUAACUGGAAUACUGCAGUAGCGCCCCUACGGCCGCACAGCCAAGCUCCACUCAGCGCACAUCCGCGUCGCCCGCAGCCUGAUGUCCCAGCUCCGCUCAGAGAUAACCUGCUGGUGCGAACCCAAGGCUCACCCACGACCCUGCCCCUCAGAGAUCAUGGGCGCCAGGAGAGGUAAACUGGCAAGGAGUGGACGGGCAGUGGCCCUGGGGUAAGCUGGUUCUCGGGAAGCAGAGGAAGACGUGGAAGUGAUCUCUCUCUGUGGGAGUGCAGAGCCCUCCACUGACUCCCUCACAUGUGAAUAGAAACUUCUGCUCUUCCCAUCACACCCACCACCUGAUAGGUACUUCCCAAGCCCACGAAAUAACCAGGGCACAACGGCAUCCCAAUGUCAUGGGCAGAGAUGUCAGGACAGGGAUUUUCCUUUAAAAUCCUCUGGAAACCAAAGUCCAUGGUCAGUAUUUUUAAACCCUCCUAAGGAGAAACUCUGAAAGCCAAAGUAUGCAAAUUAGCAAACCAUCCUGGGUGAGCCCUUCCGACUGGUCUGUGCGGGAAGGCCAACACUUAGGAAGCACUGGGCAGGCCUGGGACAAGCUGGCUCAGGAUAAAAUUGUGCCACGCACCUGGGAUGCGGGGCAGUGUUCGAAGCCCUCUCAGUAGGCACACACCAACUCCUCCCGCCUCCCCUCUGCUCAGCUAUGGCAUGGCCAUCGGGAACAAAGAUUCCACCAAGAGGAAAAGGGCCGGGGAGGCAAAAACGCAGGCCCAGGUUUUUUGUAAGGCUUAGCAUUCAAUUCAGCCAAGUCUAACUCAAGAAGGACUGACUCCUGGAGAAAAGGGAAAUUCUUAAACCCCAUUUCCUUUGUGGAAGUGGUAUCCUGUGGGAAGAGGUACACUGUGGCUGUCCGUUCUCCCCAGUCUCACCCCCCUGUAUCUCACCCACAUUGUUGCAAAGAAGGAAAUCCACAUCGAGUACUUUAAUACUAGCUCAGCCUUGCUCCAAGCAUUGCCAAUCUGGGCCAUCCCAGACCCUUUCAUGUUCAGGGAUUCUUGGUUUCCGUAUUUGCUAAAAGGAGAAUUCAUAAAGGAAUUUUAGUAGGAAACAUGGUCCACAAAGUGCUUUGGGGUCCUUGCACCUGAGUUACCUGCCCCAGUGUGGAAGGGGAUACGGUCCAAUGGUUAGGAACACCUCAGGCACCACAGACAGAAAGAUCUGGUUAGGGGCGCCUGGGUGGCACAGCGGUUAAGCGUCUGCCUUCGGCUCAGGGCGUGAUCCCAGCGUUCUGGGAUCGAGCCCCACAUCAGGCUCCUCCGCUAUGAGCCUGCUUCUUCCUCUCCCACUCCCCCUGCUUGUGUUCCCUCUUUCGCUGCCUGUCUCUAUCUCUGUCAAAUAAAUAAAUAAAAUCUUUAAAAAAAAAAAAAAAA